rnacentral:rRNA from 1 species
AUUGAACGCUGGCGGCAGGCCUAAUACAUGCAAGUCGAACGCAGUGGGGACGGGUGAGUAACACGUGGGUGACCUCCCAUCAGAGGGGAUAACACUUGGCAACAGGUGCUAAACCGAUACUGAUGGAUGGACCCGCGGGGCAUUAGCGAGUUGGUGGGGUAACGGCUCACCAGGGCCACGAUGCGUAGCUGGGCUGAGAGGGUGAUCGGCCACACUGGGACUGAGACACGGCCCAGACUCCUACGGGAGGCAGCAGUAGGGAAUCUUCGGCAAUGGGCGAAAGUCUGACGGAGCCACGCCGCGUGAGUGAAGAAGGUUUUCGGAUCGUAAAGCUCUUUUGUUAGAGAAGCGGUAUCUAACCAGAAAGCCACGGCUAACUACGUGCCAGCCGCCGCGGUAAUAC